UACGUAGGGUGCAAGCGUUGUCCGGAAUUAUUGGGCGUAAAGAGCUCGUAGGCGGUCUGUCGCGUCGGCUGUGAAAAACCCGAGGCUCAACCUCGGGCCUGCAGUCGAUACGGGCAGACUAGAGGUAUGCAGGGGAGAACGGAAUUCCUGGUGUAGCGGUGAAAUGCGCAGACAUCAGGAGGAACACCGGUGGCGAAGGCGGAUCUCUGGGCCGUAACUGACGCUGAGGAGCGAAAGCAUGGGGAGCGAACAGG
rnacentral:rRNA from 1 species